rnacentral:rRNA from 1 species
GAUGAACGCUGGCGGCGUGCCUAAUACAUGCAAGUCGAACGAAGAUCUAGCUUGCUAGAUCUUAGUGGCGAACGGGUGAGUAAUACAUAAAUAAUCUGCCCAUAUGACUGGGAUAACUAUUGGAAACGAUAGCUAAUACCGGAUAGGUUGAUUGGAGGCAUCUCUGAUUAAUUAAAGUAGGAUUUCUACACAAAUGGAUGAGUUUAUGGCGCAUUAGUUAGUUGGUGGGGUAACGGCCUACCAAGACGAUGAUGCGUAGCCGACCUGAGAGGGUGACCGGCCACACUGGGACUGAGACACGGCCCAGACUCCUACGGGAGGCAGCUGUAGGGAAUUUUCGGCAAUGGGCGCAAGCCUGACCGAGCAACGCCGCGUGAGUGAUUAAGGCCUUCGGGUUGUAAAGCUCUGUUGUAAGGGAAGAACAUUCAGGAUAGGAAAUGAUCUUGAACUGACGGUACCUUACCAGAAAGCCACGGCUAACUACGUGCCAGCCGCCGCGGUAACAC